rnacentral:lncRNA from 1 species
CCAGGAUCUGAGAGAAACCAAAAAAAAGUGGGGAGAUAAUAAUCCAGGGACUUUGGGUAGUUGUUAAAUGGAUGGCUGUAUCAUAAGUAUUGAAGCUGAUAAGGGAUAGAUAUGGGUUGAUUAUAUAUUUGUUUUGCUGGAAAAUGUUCCAUGAUACAGUUUUAAUAACAGUUUUAAUUUCAGAAACGCAAAAUAUUGUUUUUACAACUAAGAUAACAUUGAAAUUUAUACAGAACCCCAAAUGACAAGUGUAUAAUCAACUGCCAGGAAAUCAGUUUACCUGUUAGAGGUAGAAAAGUUACAGGAUAAAAAUGGAAUUGGUUGGCACUAAGUAGGACCACUUUCGAAGAGAAUGGGUAGAAUUCAUUUUCUUUUCAUUACUUCCUUUCAGCGUGGAGCCUGAGCAUCAUUUCACCAUUUUGAGCCUCAAGCUCUCAAUAUACUGGAAAAUUGUAAUCCUGUUCCCUUCACUGAGGUCAUAAUACUGAAUUCUGAAAUGGAAAUAAUUGACUAGAGAUUGUCUAGUCAAACUAGACUGAUGAGGUCUCACCAUUUUCUUCAAGGAAGAUCAACUGAACCUGCCUGAAGGCACAGGGUACACCAUCUUCCUAAGGUGUGACCUCCUGUUCCCAAAGGAAUAGACCUAGGUGACCAACCAGCAGCACCUAGCUUUUGCCAGCUACGCAGCUUUGAAUAGCCUUCCACCCUUGUGUCCUUCAAACCCCAUUCUUGCCAAAGCCAAGUUCUCUCCCUCCCUCUCAACAGAUUUCUCAGCACACAUCAGAUUUCACACCGAUCUAUGAAAAACUAUUUUUAGAGAUUAUUACUAUGGUCCGAAUGUUUAUAUCCCCUCCUGCUCUCCCUAAAAUUAUGUUGAAAUCCUAACCCCCAAGGUAAUGGUAUUAGGAAUGUGAGGCCUUUGGGAAGGGUUUAAGUCAUGAGGGCAGAGACCUCCUUUUUGAGAUUGGUACACUUAUAAAAGAGACCCCAGUAUCUUGCUCGUCCCUUCUGCCAUGGGAGAACACGGUGAGAGCGAGCCAUCUGUAAACCAACAAACAAGGCCCUCACCAGGCACUCAAUCUGCCAGCACUUUGAUAGUGGACUUCCCAGCCUCCAGAACUAUGAGAAAUAAAUGUGUUUUUUUAAGCCAGCCAGUUCAUUUUGUUAUAGCAGCCUGGACAGACAAUAUAUUGAAAAAAAUCAGUUUUGCAGUUCCACUGGUCAGGUGAAUGCCAGAGGAGCUGGUCCACAGUCAUAGGCGUUAAACUUCUUUUGGAAACUAUACUGGCUUGACAGUCUCCCCAUACUGAUUCAGACUCCAGCAAGGUGCACAUCACCCGCUAGUCAUUGUGGCUUCUGCUGCUUUAAGGUUCUGGAAUUAUGGAAGAAAAUAGGGUGGGCCUACUGUCUCUUCCCACUGUUUACCUGGUGUUUUGAUUCUGAAUAGUUUAUAAGCUCUGCUAUUCAAGAAGUUUAUACAAACCCGUAAUGUACUACCAAACCGUUCAUUCAUUAUGACAAAACUGCCUACCAAAGCCACAGACUUUAAGUCUUUGCAGGAUUACCACUGAAAGUUCACAUGCUUGGUUAGCAGUCUUAACCUCUAACCAACUGAACAAAUCGAAGACAUUUAAUUUAGUCAAAAUAGGCAUGGGAAUGAAAGUGAGACUUAGAGGCAAAGAAUGAGGCCAGGUGCGGUGGCUCACACCUGUAACUCCAGCACUUUGGAAGGCCCAGGCAGAAGGAUUCCUGCAGACCAGGAUUUCAAGACCAGCCUGGACAACCUGGUGAAACCUCCUCUCUACAAGAAAAUUCAAAAAUUAGCCAGGCGUGGUAGGGUAUGCCUGUAGUCCCAGCUACUUGGGAGGCUGAGGUGGGAGGACUGCUUGAGCCCAGGAGGUCCAGGCUGCAGUGAGCCGUGAUCACACCACUGCACUCCAGACUGGGAGGCAGAGGAAGA